rnacentral:rRNA from 1 species
AUUGAACGCUGGCGGCAGGCCUAACACAUGCAAGUCGAACGGUAACAGGAAGAGGCUUGCUUCUUUGCUGACGAGUGGCGGACGGGUGAGUAAUGUCUGGGAAACUGCCUGAUGGAGGGGGAUAACUACUGGAAACGGUAGCUAAUACCGCAUAACGUCGCAAGACCAAAAAGGGGGACCUUCGGGCCUCUUGCCAUCGGAUGUGCCCAGAUGGGAUUAGCUAGUAGGUGGGGUAACGGCUCACCUAGGCGACGAUCCCUAGCUGGUCUGAGAGGAUGACCAGCCACACUGGAACUGAGACACGGUCCAGACUCCUACGGGAGGCAGCAGUGGGGAAUAUUGCACAAAGGGCGCAAGCCUGAUGCAGCCAUGCCGCGUGUAUGAAGAAGGCCUUCGGGUUGUAAAGUACUUUCAGCGGGGAGGAAGGGAGUAAAGUUAAUACCUUUGCUCAUUGACGUUACCCGCAGAAGAAGCACCGGCUAACUCCGUG